GACGAACGCUGGCGGCGUGCUUAACACAUGCAAGUCGAACGGUAAGGCUCCAGCUUGCUGGGGUACACGAGUGGCGAACGGGUGAGUAACACGUGGGUGACCUGCCCUGCACUUCGGGAUAAGCCUGGGAAACUGGGUCUAAUACCGGAUAGGACCGCACCGUGAGGGUGUGGUGGAAAGUUUUUUCGGUGUGGGAUGGGCCCGCGGCCUAUCAGCUUGUUGGUGGGGUAAUGGCCUACCAAGGCGGCGACGGGUAGCCGGCCUGAGAGGGUGGACGGCCACAUUGGGACUGAGACACGGCCCAGACUCCUACGGGAGGCAGCAGUGGGGAAUAUUGCACAAUGGGCGGAAGCCUGAUGCAGCGACGCCGCGUGGGGGAUGACGGCCUUCGGGUUGUAAACUCCUUUCACCAUCGACGAAGGGUUUCUGACGGUAGAUGGAGAAGAAGCACCGGCUAACUACGUGCCAGCAGCCGCGGUAAUACGUAGGGUGCGAGCGUUGUCCGGAAUUACUGGGCGUAAAGAGCUCGUAGGUGGUUUGUCGCGUCGUCUGUGAAAUUCCGGGGCUUAACUCCGGGCGUGCAGGCGAUACGGGCAUAACUUGAGUACUGUAGGGGAGACUGGAAUUCCUGGUGUAGCGGUGAAAUGCGCAGAUAUCAGGAGGAACACCGGUGGCGAAGGCGGGUCUCUGGGCAGUAACUGACGCUGAGGAGCGAAAGCAUGGGGAGCGAACAGGAUUAGAUACCCUGGUAGUCCAUGCCGUAAACGGUGGGCGCUAGGUGUGGGUUUCCUUCCACGGGAUCCGUGCCGUAGCUAACGCAUUAAGCGCCCCGCCUGGGGAGUACGGCCGCAAGGCUAAAACUCAAAGGAAUUGACGGGGGCCCGCACAAGCGGCGGAGCAUGUGGAUUAAUUCGAUGCAACGCGAAGAACCUUACCUGGGCUUGACAUAUACAAAAUCGCGCCAGAGAUGGUGUUUCCCUUGUGGCUUGUAUACAGGUGGUGCAUGGUUGUCGUCAGCUCGUGUCGUGAGAUGUUGGGUUAAGUCCCGCAACGAGCGCAACCCUUGUCUUAUGUUGCCAGCACGUUGUGGUGGGGACUCGUAAGAAACUGCCGGGGUUAACUCGGAGGAAGGUGGGGAUGACGUCAAAUCAUCAUGCCCCUUAUGUCCAGGGCUUCACACAUGCUACAAUGGUCGGUACAGUGGGUUGCCAGUCCGUGAGGGCGAGCUAAUCCCGCAAAGCCGGUCUCAGUUCGGAUCGGGGUCUGCAACUCGACCCCGUGAAGUCGGAGUCGCUAGUAAUCGCAGAUCAGCAACGCUGCGGUGAAUACGUUCCCGGGCC
rnacentral:rRNA from 1 species